ensembl:lncRNA
CUGUUUCUCUAGAAUUGUAAAAAUAAGGAGGAAGAGGGUGAAAUGCAUUGUAAGGUUCCUUGGCAUCUGAGGAUAAAAUUCUGCUAUCACAACAGAAGGAUUUUUUAUAAUGGCCAAGAAAAAAAAUAUUUUGAAUAUGGAAGAAAGUAUGUAAAAGGUCUCAGGCUUUGUACUUCUUGGUUCAGGGGUAUUUGAAGAGCUGAAAGCAGAAACUGCUUGAAACAACUUCUCUUUCUGGCCCUUCUGAAAGUCUUGAGAAUACUAAGCAAGUGUGUCCCCUGACAAGGAAGAAACUGGAGAAGAGUAGGCCAAAGAAUGUCAGACAGAUGGCAAGAAUUGAGGUUGCUGUAGACCCGUGUGGAUUCGCCACCAGUAACAAAACCAUAAUUACACAGGGAGGGUUUCUUCCAUCAGGCUGGUGGCAUGCUCCUUCUACAGCAGAAUAUGCUGCGGCUUUUUUCUUAUUCUUUUGGCCUUCAGAAGAAAGAGUGCUGCAUGCCAGUGUCUUCAAGUGGAUACUUCUGAGGCCCUUCAGAAAGAGCAAGAAUGGAUCCAGAGAGCUGCUUGGCCUCAGGAUACUCCUUUGGUUCAUCUAUAUUCACCAGGGACAUUCCAGUGUUGUCGUUUUUAAACGAUGGUGCUACCCUCCCCAAAAUAAAGUCACCAUUAAAAUGUAUCCUGGAGAAUUGGGACCAAUUUGACACAUGAUCUUUGAAGAAGAAGUGCCUCAUUUUUCUCUGCAAAACAGCGUGGCAGAGAAAAUACCCCUGCUGAGUGGAAAAACCUGGCCUCCUAAGGGAAGUAUAGAUUAUGACACUAUUCUACAGUUAGACCUGUUUUGUAAAAGUGAGGGUAAAUGGUUUGAGAUCCUCUAUGUGUGACUUUUCUUUUCUCUAAGGAAUAAGCUUUAGCUAUGCAAGGCCUGUACCCCACGUCCUGCUAGGCCCUCCUCAGGACUACCUCCACAUUUGGGAUUCCCUGUGGCUUCUACCUUCACCAAUGCCAACCAGGGCUCCUCAACCCCUAUACCCCAAUGGCAGUUAAGAUGGUGGGAAUUGACUCAUGGAUUCAUCACACUCAGCUGAAACCUUGGACACCUCCUGAAUAAAGUCAUAAACCCUCCACUCCACAGCCUGAAGUUCCAGGAGACAACCUGUGAGCCAUUAGAGGAUCUACAUCUGCUCUUCCGACGAGAUCCCCAGGAAAGUAACUAUUCAUGAGUUUAAUUUAUAUCCUUGCAUUAACAGUAUUAUAACUCUUAACUUUGCUAUCUUGCAAACGCCAAUGAUCCCUUUCAUAGUGGGGGGAAAGUUGAAAAAAAAAAUAGGAAAACUUGGUGCUGGCAAUAGAAUUUACUACCUCUAUUCAGUUACUAUAAGCUACCUCAGGAGUUAAUUAGUAACAUAAAAAUGUUGCUAAUUUACUCUGCAAAACAGCUUAACUCUUUAGCUGCCAUAGCUCUUCAAAGUAGAAGGGCCCUAAAUCUGCUAACAACAGAGAGAGAGAGGGAGCCUGUCUAUUUCUAGGAAGAAAUGCUGCUGCUUUGUAAACCAAUUAACUAUUGUUUUAAACGAAGUUAAAGAACUCAGGAAUCAACUGAACACAGGGCUAAAGACCUUCAAGAAAUAGUUUCAUGGAGCUUGUUUAACAACUAGUUGUCCUGGCUGUACCAUCUCCUAGGACUGUUUAUAAUCAUUCUAUAUUUGUUGGCCUCUGGGCUUUUCAUUUUUAACCUUCUUGUCACACUCGUUUCUUCUAGAAUCGUAAGGUCACAAAUAAUCCUGCCACUGGAACACCAGAUGUCCUUGGCUCAUGAGCUCUAUUGUGGACCUCAGGAUCAACCUGCACCCCUGAAAGGCUCCCCUCUGGAGGAAAACUCAACUGCAGGGCCUCUUCUAUGCCCCAUUUCAGCAGGAAGUAGCUAAAGAGCAAUCGAGACCCGUGUCCCAACAACAGUUGGACUUUCCUGUUCAGAGAGAGGACUGAGGGAAUGUAUUCUCUUCCUGGGUCCACAAGGGGGUGUACUUUCAAAGGCAAGAACUUCCCAGCGCCAUGCCUCCACCCACAUCUCCAUCUGGGAGCUUAGAGUUCUUAGUUUAACUUUUGCGCAUGCAGGAAGAUAAUCAAAGAUCAAUCACUCCAGCAAAAGUUUAAAGGAACUUCUUUCAUAGGACAGAAAGCUUCAAUAGGGUGGGACUGUCUCCCGGUUUAAAAGUCCCCUUCCCCCACAUCUGGGCGGACUCCCUUUCUGGAUCCCCUCUCAUAACAUGUGAGAGUUUUCUCUCUCUUUCUCCUUUCUCUCUCUCUGCCAAAACAAAUCACUUUCUGCAAACUCUUUGGGGUCCAAUAUUUACUUACAAACCCACCACACCUAGCGGGGUCCUCUCCCCCAUUCUUGGGUGAGUGAGGGACAAAGAGCCUGGAAGAACAUAUCCUAUCAGGGAGCUGAGCCUCCCCUGUAUCCCAGAACGUGGUCUCAACAUGAUUCAGUUAAUAUUGAUUUUUAAAACUCAAAACAGAAUUCUUUAUGAAAAUAUUCUAUCUAUAAUGGCUGGAUGUCAAC